UUGAAAAUAAUUCGGGUUGGCGCUGGUAACAACUAGUCAUAUUGUUAUCAAGCUUAAUAGGGAACCGUGUGAGAAUCACGGGCUGACGGGCAACUGUAUGUUUUCCAGCACUCCGGGAGCGCCCGCUCCCCUGCUGAAAGCUGCACGUUAGACCACUGUUCCGGUUCAAAACCGGGAUGGGAAGGUGUGAAGCAAGAAAAACAAGCCAGGAGACCUGCCACUCAGAAUUAUUUGUC
rnacentral:ncRNA from 2 species